AUACGUAGGGGGCUAGCGUUAUCCGGAAUUACUGGGCGUAAAGGGUGCGUAGGUGGUUUCUUAAGUCAGAAGUGAAAGGCUACGGCUCAACCGUAGUAAGCUUUUGAAACUAAGAGACUUGAGUGCAGGAGAGGAGAGUAGAAUUCCUAGUGUAGCGGUGAAAUGCGUAGAUAUUAGGAGGAAUACCAGUUGCGAAGGCGGCUCUCUGGACUGUAACUGACACUGAGGCACGAAAGCGUGGGGAGCAAACAGGAUUAGAUACCCUGGUAGUCCACGCCGUAAACGAUGAGUACUAGCUGUCGGGGGUUACCCCCCUCGGUGGCGCAGCUAACGCAUUAAGUACUCCGCCUGGGAAGUACGCUCGCAAGACUGAAACUUAAAGGAAUUGACGGGG
rnacentral:rRNA from 1 species